rnacentral:lncRNA from 1 species
AUGCCAAAGAAUGCUCAAACUACCGCACAAUUGCACUCAUCUCACACGUUAGUGAUGUUCAAAAUUCUCCAAGCCAGGCUUCAGCAAUACGUGAACCAUGAACUUCCUGAUGUUCAAGCUGGUUUUAGAAAAGGCAGAGGAACCAGAGAUCAAAUUGCCAACAUCCACUGGAUCAUGGAAAAAGCAAGAGAGUUCCAGAAAAACAUCUAUUUCUGCUUUAUUGACUAUGCCAAAGCCUUUGACUAUGUGGAUCACAAUAAACUGUGGAAAAUUCUGAAAGAGAUGGGAAUACCAGACCACCUGACCUGCCUCUUGAGAAACCUAUAUGGAGGUCAGGAAGCAACAGUUAGAACUGGAUAUGGAACAACAGACUGGUUCCAAAUAGGAAAAGGAGUAGAUCAAGGCUGUAUAUUGUCACCCUGCUUAUUUAACUUAUAUGCAGAGUACAUCAUGAGAAACGCUGGACUGGAAGAAACACAAGUAAAGUUUGCCGGGAGAAAUCUCAAUAACCUCAGAUAUGCAGAUGACACCACCCUUAUGGCAGAAAGUGAAGAGGAACUAAAAAGCCUCUUGAUGAAAGUGAAAGAGGAGAAUGAAAAAGUUGGCUUAAAGCUCAACAUUCAGAAAACGAAGAUCAUGGCAUCCAGUCCCAUCACUUCAUGGGAAAUAGAUAGGGAAAUAGUGGAAACAGUGGCAGACUUUACUUUUGGGGGCUCCAAAAUCACUGCAGAUGGUGAUUGCAGCCAUGAAAUUAAAAGAUGCUUACUCCUUGGAAGGAAAGUUAUGACCAACCUAGAUAGCAUAUUCAAAACAGAGACAUUGCCAGCAAAGGUCCGUCUAGUCAAGGCUAUGGUGUUUCCUGUGGUCAUGUAUGGAUGUAAGAGUUGGACUGUGAAGAAAGCUGAGUGCCAAAGAAUUGAUGCUUUUGAACUGUGGUGUUGGAGAAGACUCUUGAGAGUCCCUUGGACUGCAAGGAGAUCCAACCAGUCCAUUCUGAAGGAAGUCAGCCCUGGGAUUUCUUUGGAAGGAAUGAUGCUAAAGCUGAAACUCCAGUACUCUGGCCACCUCAUGCAAAGAGUUGACUCAUUGGAAAAGACUCUGAUGCUGGGAGGGAUUGGGGGCAGGAGGAGAAGGGGAUGA